AUUGAACGCUGGCGGCAGGCCUAACACAUGCAAGUCGAACGAGUGGCGGACGGGUGAGUAAUGUCUGGGAAACUGCCCGAUGGAGGGGGAUAACUACUGGAAACGGUAGCUAAUACCGCAUACCAUCGGAUGUGCCCAGAUGGGACUAGCUAGUAGGUGGGGUAACGGCUCACCUAGGCGACGUUCCCUAGCUGGUCUGAGAGGAUGAACAGCCACUGCGGAACUGAGACACGUUCCAGAGUCCUACGAGAGGCUGCCGUGGGGAAUCUUGGACAAUGGGCGCAAGCCUGAUGCAGCCAUGCCGCGGGUAUGAAGAAGGCCUUCGGGUUGUAAAGUACUUUCAGCGAGGAGGCGUUACUCGCAGAAGAAGCACCGGCUAACUCCGAGCCAGCAGCCGCGGUAAUUC
rnacentral:rRNA from 1 species